UCAAUUAUGGCUUGAAGUUGUUAUCAAAUAUCCAAAGCAGUUUUUUGUGGUAGUGAAACAUUUUCUUGAAUUUAUAAAAUUAGUCGAUAAUGCAGUUCCUCAUUGUAGUGGAGUUUUUAUUUAAAUUAAAAAACCUUGGCUACAAGCACUAUGUCGUUCGAAAUUUGCGACGACAAAAUAUUGGAGGAAAAGUAGCGAAUAUUUCAUUCAAACUUGAAAUUGACUAUGAACAUCAAAGCAGAUGCACAGUGGUGGAACAUCAACACAAACAUGUGAAUCUGUAUUUUCUUGGAAUAAAAAAAAAUAAACGAAACAAGCAGGAGAUAGAUCAAUGAGUUUGCUAACUCCAAUGUUCGAAAACAUUUAUUUCAAGGCCAGCCAUCAGUUUCCUCUCUGAGUGAAGAAGAUAUUCUACAUAUUAGUGAAAAAAGAUGGUCAAAAUAAAUACAAUGUCAACUAAAUUAACCCAAAUAUGUGUUUUCUACAGAAAUAUUGUUCUGUAGUGGAUCAUACGUCAUAGUAGUAUAGUAUAUAAUUUCAUAAAAUAGUACACUAUUUUAAUUGGCUCAUAAUAUGAAA